GGGGGGGGGGGGUCUCUCUGGUGGGUGGAAGAUUAAUGGGGACACUGGGAGCCCUGGAAAAUUAUGAUUCUGGGGUCUUGGGAGUGUCUCAGCAAAGUAGAUUGGAUUCUGGGGUUGUCUUAGAGCAUGGAUCUUUCUGGCGCCCUGGAGGUUCCUCAGAGGUGUGGAUACCUCCAGAUGAGUGGGGGUUGCUCUGGAAGAUAAGGGGUCUCUGGAUCAUUACAAAGUUUGGAAGUCGGAGCGGUGAGAUACUUCUGGAAUCUUGGGGUAUCUCUCUGAUAGAUGGGUUGAGAGAGGGACCUGGAGCCCUGGAGUUCACUAAAAGAUUGGGAAUUUCUGUAGCCCUAGAGCUGACAAUGGAAGUUCAUAUUUUCUGGAAUCUUCCCCUAAGAGGGUUGGGGGUCUUGAGGCUCAUGAAGUGAUCUUCAAGAUUAAACGGACAGUUGUUCUUGGGAUCCUCCCCCUUUAAUCCCCCCGGUAACAGGGGAGAGGGAUAUUUCUGGAAGCCUAGUAGGGGCUUUUCUAAGAGGUAGGAGGACUUGGAGAGCCCUUUGGAGCCUUUGAAAGAUUGGGCCACUUGGAAUAUCUUGGGGAAAUGACACUCAAACUUUGGGUGUCUCUGAGGCUGCAUUUCCUGGAGACUAUUCUGAGGGCAGCCAGACUUGAAAUUCCCUUUGGCUCUGAAGCAGUCUCUCUUGUCCCUGUCUUGCCUCACACGCGCUUCUUCAAAGUCACAAAGAGAAGCCCUGCAUCCUAGGGACCCAAGGAGGAUCUGGGGACCUGUGGAUGGGAUGUGUCUUUGACCAAUGGACAUUUUUUUAAGUGUGUCAGUUCCAGGCUGGUGUCUGGAAGCAGAUUGGCUCAACCAGGACCUGCCCUCAAGGAGCUCCCCGUCCUAGUUGAUUGGGGGGGGGGGGGGGGGCGGAGAGACAAAGACAGGAACUUGAACCUAUUGCAGUGGCCUAAUGGAGGUAGCAGGCAGGCUGAGCAGGGGAGCUAAAGCUACUGAGGCCUGCUUAGCAGAGGGGGCCCGCUCCAAGCAGCCCAGGCAAGGUGUCCUCUGACCAAGGGGACGCUGGACCAGGCUGGUAUCUGGGGUCCUCAAGGGGACCCUGGGCCAGUGGCCAGGAGAGCAGCGGUGCUGAGUCAUGCUGAACUCAGCGGUAAGGGUCUCAGGCAGAGAGGCGGGGUGGGGCCACUGACUGACCUCAUGUCCUGCCAGGCUGCUGACUGGCGGGGACCCUGGGAACUAGGCCUGGCUGGGAUCCAAGUCUGGCCCCCUCCCCCAGGGUGCCACCUUGAGUGUGCUUUGUCUCUGCAUCUUACGGUCUUUUCGAGUUCCUCGGGCCUGUGGCCAUAUUGUCUCCUCUCUGGGCGGUGACUCAGUCUCCCUUCACUAUCUUGUCUGACAGCUCUCCCCUGACUUGGUGUCUCUGGGGAGAGUCUAUGGGGGAGGGGCAGGUGCUCCAGGCACACAGUCACAAUGGGGCCUGAGUUACUCAUUCACCAAAUUUCAAACCUCAGCCUAAAGACCUUUAGCCUCCACCAGGCCCCACCUGCAGAGAGGGGUGACUUUGGAAAUGCUCACAGAUUUGCCGGCACAUGAAGUCUGGUCUCCUGUGACAGCCAGGGAGAGGGCUCAGUGACUCAGACUCCGAAGUGUGGCCUGAAAGAGGUUUAUUGCCCCCACCAGACCUCUCCUCCCCCACAUCCCCCCCCCCCAAUAAUUACAAAAGUAAGAAAAAUGCCCAUGGCCCCCAAUUCCCACCCCUCCCGGAAAAAUGCCAUAAUUUAUGCAGAAAAGACACAGUCCAAGGCAGCUGGUGGCCUCAGCCCAUCUUUUUCCAGAUGGUGAGUGACGCAGUCAGCACUCCGGCCACAAAGAUGGUCACUGUCUGCCACGUGGGUGUCCCAAAGUAGGAGAGGAGGCCGUCCUGCAGACAGAUCGCUGCGACUUUGGCUUUGAGGUCAUCCCCUCUCAGAAGUCUUUCCCGACCACUUUGCACAAUUACAUCACCACACUCAUCAGACAUCGUGGGCUCCACGAGAGCAAGGACCUAGCCUGCUUUGUUGGGUGCCGCUUCUUGGGUCAGGUACAUAGUAGGCCCAAUACAUGUCUGCUGCACGAGUAACUGAAGGAGCCAACAAACCAGCCCGUAGCCCUCUCCAUUCCCUUUGCGCUUAGUGGGCUGCCACAGGGGUUGACCUCACGACUCCCAGGUCCUCCUAGGUCUGAGCGGAGCAUCCCUGGGGGCUCACUGCCCGGCAGCCGCCCACCUUGAGCACCAGUUUGCUGGCAAAGUAGAAGAGGGCAACGACCCGGCCCCAGUUGAAGUUGCCAUCGGAAAACAUCUCCGCUGCCACUCGGAAAAAGACCUCGCGGGGGGAGUCUGUGUCCACAGCUGCGAUCAUCCUGCAGGAAAGAGGAAAGCCAGUGCUGCCGAGGGAAGACCAGGCAGGGCGUGGGGGAGACUCUGGGAUUCACCUCACACCAAAGACAAGGAUGCCGAGGCCCAAGUUAGGCUGUCAUGAAAAAGAACGGGCCAACAUGGGGGAAAGGGACGAGAUGGACAUUCAGGAAGGUGGGGAAAAUGACUCCCUGAGGGAGGGUGUCAGUUUCCUAGAGGAAGGGCGGGCUUCUCAGCCAGGGAGCUGGAUAGAGUGGUGGGGCCCUGGACGCCUGGGUCUGAGGGAGUAGCAGACUGUGGAUCUGACCUCCAGGCCCAGGGGAAGAGGGGCGUGAGAGCCAGGGCUCUGGGGAUGUGAGGGAGAAGGGGACCAGUGGCUGGAUUCCUGGGGCCCAGGGGCCACACCUCUGCAAUUCCAUGUUACUGUCCAGUUCAUCUCCGAUGCGCUUGAGACACUCGCUCAGCUUCUUGGUGGACGCAUCCUGGGGCACCUGCUCCAGGGCCAGCUCGGGUGUCUCUCCCCCCAUUCGCCCUGCUCGAUCUUGGAUGAAACUAGAGUGGGAAUGGAGUGUGGAGGGUGCAGAAUCAGAAUGGGGCAUCACUCCUCCAAUCCGCUCGGCAAUAAUCACACCUCAGACUCACCCCUGAAGCAAAAGGGCCCCUGUCUUCAUGAUCUGCUCAGAGCUGGUGGGCCCUAGAGGAGAAAGGAGGGAAGACGUGCCUGGACUCUUGGGUCCUAGGGGAUUCAGGGAACUAGGGUGGCACAUGAUCUCUGAGGGAGGACAACACUAGGGGGUCCUGCAUUUCUGGGUCCCUGGUAGAUACAGUGCCUAGGGGCCCGGGCAGCUGAGUCCCUGGUGGAGAUAAACGCAGGGAGCCUCGGCCAGUAUCCUGCGUUCUUCCGGCGGAGGAGGUUGAGGGAACGCUUCAUGCAUCCAGACCCCUGGCCUGAGGGGGCAGAGGAGAGACCCGCCCCUCCCACCAGGAAGUGGUGCCGGCGACAAGCCCGGGCCUGCCCCGGGGCUUGGGAUUCUGGGGUCUCCAGCUUCUCGGGGGUCCGAGAGCGCCAGGCAGAAAGGCAUCGGGACGCGGAGGCCAGAGAGCCGGGAACCCCCGGGGAGGGAGGGGGCUGGAAGCUGGCAGCGCCCGAUCCGGGAGUUUCUGCCCCGGAGUGCUUGGAGAUCGCACGGCCCCAAGACCGGCAGGAGGGAUCGUGGGGCCGGCCGGCGAGGGGGCUCGCCCUCCUCCCGCCCGUCUGCCUCCCGCCUCACCCCCGCCUCUGGGCUGCUCCCCGGACCCGUCCAUCACCGCCGCUCCCGCCGCCGCCUCUCGCCGGGUCCGCCCGGGCGGCCGCAGCACGCCCCUGGUCACGUGAGCGCCCCGCUGAACGUGCGUGCUCUCACGUGACCGCCCCGCAAAAUGGCGGCCCGCAGGCUGUCGCCCCGCAGGGCGGUUGGGUCACGUGACGGCACCUGCCUCACCUGCUUGGGGAGGCCGGGGCCCCUAUCACGUGACUAUCUAAUCUGCACCUACAGCCUUCUAGCUUGUGGGUCCACCGUCUGCAUGCAACACAUGGUUUCCAUCUCGCGGGGGAAGAGGACACGCCAAUGCCCGAACACAGCUCUACUCCAGUCCCAAGAAGGGAGAGGCUGAAAGGGAGGCCAUCCUCUUUGCCUAAAAAAGGCCAUAACUCAGAAGCUGCACACAUCCCAUUGGCCAGAACCCAUUCACGUGGUAAGACCUAGUUGCAAGGGAGCCUGGGAAAUGUAGUCUUUAGCUGGGCAGCCACAUGUCCAGUGAAAACUUUCCUAUCGUCCAUGAUUGAAGGGACAUCUAGCAGUGUUUGCCACACAAAAGAUUGAAACCAAGCAAACAGAGGGCUGAAGCCAAUGUAGUGAUACCUGAAUGAUGUAUAAAGAGACUUGGAAUAGAAAACGCAUUUGAUUGACAUCUAGUCCCUCUCGUGUGCCCACAGUGAGAAUCAUUCGUGCAAACCCAACAUAUCCAUCUCAAUCUUCUAGAACCUGGCAGCACUGAACUUCCUGGAUUCUCUGUGACUCACCAAGGUCAUGUGACUAGUUGUUGCCAGUGAAUUUCACGAGGUU